AGUAUAUCCUCCAAAGAAUAUACCACAAGUUUUUCCAUUUGACUUUGAGCUGCUGUUGAAGUGAUAAAUCUGUUCAGAUAAGCUCCUUAUGAAUCCUUCAGAUCGAUGUUCUUGAGGAAAACAGUCAAGCUAAACAGCAAUGAUGACUUUUAUGAGUUUUCCUCCAACGACAGAAAAACACUGCAGUAAGCUUUGGCAGCGUGUCCUUUGAAGAGGCAGAGACUCGUUUAUCCAGCUAUCAAAAAUCCAUCAAGUCUUCUGCACACAAGCUUCUGUGCCAGCUGCUGGGGAUGCAAAGAAUGCACCCCACCCCACUUGGCCACAAAAAGCUGACAGCCACAUUUUUAAAAAUAUAUUUUGUUUACCUUUAGGCUCA
rnacentral:lncRNA from 1 species